GUGCCUUCAUGCUGGACCAAUCACUGUGACAAAGAGAAUGCAGUGCUCUGAUUGGUCAGACCUGGGUCAUGUGUCCUCCUCUGGUCCUGUUCCACCGCGUCUUCGUAAACCAAGGGGGUGUUGGAUUAUACCUCCAAGGAAAAUCAAAAUACUAUUAUCAGAGAAUGGGGGAAAACAUGACCAUCACACACGAUGCAAAGCAAGAUCUGUCUCUGGAAUAAAUGAUUCAAGGGAACCUGAGGCCCUGUUUUUCCUCUCCUUUCCAAAAACUGCAAAGGAGCUUUAAGAAAGGGUUCUGUUCACAUUGUGCUCCAGUGAACAACUCGUUUGCGGGAAACUCAAGGCACCGGUAUCAUUUGACUGAAAACAGCAGCCCCAUCAGAGCAGAGGUUACCAGCUUCAGAGUCACAUCUUAUGUUCCUGUUCAUCUCAUCCGACCGGUUCUUGUGAGUGACACGAAAAUUAGAUAAUAUAUGCCCUGAAAAUGAAAGGUAAGAGCAGUCUGAAGAAGUUUGAUGAGGCAAGGAAUAGGGGUUGACAUGCUAUUUUAAAAAGUUUGUCCUUGGGGUAGAAUUACCUGACAGCCUGGCUGGGAUUUGGUAGUGGUGUGUGUGCUUGAAAGAACAACCUUUAGCACAGCUGGCAUAGACAUAAAUGCCAAGCGGAGGAUCCGCAAGGCUCCACCCCCUCUUCUGGGCGCGCGCCAAUUCUUGUGGGUCAUAAAAAACAGCAAGGUGUGACUGCGAUCUUGGAAUCUCCUUAUCUUUUAUCCAGUAAAUGAACUUUUUCUUAGUCUACAUAUAUGACAAAAUGCCACUCACUAUGCAAAGUGAUUUAUUCAGUCCAAUUUUUAUGAAAACCUUUAAGGAUAGAAACAUAUAGAGCACUUGGCGCACGGUCAAACACAGGAGUGUUUAAUGACGGCAGUAAUUAGGAUAAUGGAACAAUGCGCUUUGAGUGAAUGUUUGGCAGGACUUUAGAUAUGUCAAGAAAGGUAUAAAGGGGCGCCUGGGUGGCACAGCGGUUAAGCGUCUGCCUUCGGCUCAGGGCGUGAUCCCGGCGUUAUGGGAUCGAGCCCCACAUCAGGCUCCUCUGCUAUGAGCCUGCUUCUUCCUCUCCCACUCCCCCUGCUUGUGUUCCCUCUCUCGCUGGCUGUCUCUAUCUCUGUCAAAUAAAUAAAAAUAAAAAAUCUUCAAAAAAAAAAAAGGUAUAAAAAGUAAUCAUUUAAAGAAUGAAAUGGGAAUCACCAGAGUAACUACACUUCUGUGAAAAGUGAACUGGAGGGCGCCUGGAUGGCUCAGUUGGUUAAGCAACUGCCUUUGGCUCAGGUCAUGAUCCUGGAGUCCUGGAAUCCCUCAUCGCAUCUGGCUCCCUGCUCAGUGGAAAGUCUGCUUCUCCUUCUGACCCUCCCCCCUCUCGUGCUCUUUCUCUCUCUCUCUCAAAUAAAUAAAUAAAAUCUUUUUUUUUAAUAAAGUGAACUGGAAAAGGACCAAUGCAUCCGGGUUAUAAAUAUUUGUUUUAAUAAAACUAAAGAUUAUUCUAAAUUGAUUACUUGUCUCAAAUCUCAGUUUUAUUUGUAGCUAGUCUUCAUUCACUCAUUCUUUUA
ensembl:lncRNA